AAACGUCACAUACGUUUUCCACGAAUGUCGAUGUCGUGUUUGCGUCAAACCGAAAUUAAACUUCUUGUCGGGCGGAACACAAGUUUGACUGUUUUUUUGAAAGAAAGACACAACGAGGUCUAGUGUUUAUUUGUUUGCUCAAAGCAAUAAAUAACACAAAACAAAUUCCAUAU